UAUCUUCAUCUGUUGCUUUGGUGGGCCGCGCGAGCACCAGCUUCGGCUGGGUAGUGCCCACCAAGGGACCCAACUCUGUCAUUGAUGUCGUCUGAGUACUAUACAAUAGUUAAAACUUUCAACAACGGAUCUCUUGGUUCUGGCAUCGAUGAAGAACGCAGCGAAAUGCGAUAAGUAAUGUGAAUUGCAGAAUUCAGUGAAUCAUCGAAUCUUUGAACGCACAUUGCGCCCUCUGGUAUUCCGGAGGGCAUGCCUGUUCGAGCGUCAUAAUGACCAAAUCACCCUCGGGUGGACUUGGAGCUGGCCGGCUGGCCUCUCUCAACAUCAGUGGCGGUGCUCGUAAGCUCUACGCGUAGUAAUCAUCUCGCUCUAGGGUCUUGCGGGUGCUAGCCAACAACCCAACUUUCUUAAGGUUGACCUCGGAUCAGGUAGGGAUACCCGCUGAACUUAAGCAUAUCA
rnacentral:rRNA from 1 species